ensembl:lncRNA
GUUUAAAAUAAAAAAGUGAAAAAAAACCUAGGUGAAAUUAAUUUGAUAACCUAUUUGAUUUAGCCCAAUAUAUCCAAAAUAUUACUUCAACAUGUCAUAAAUAUAAAAAUUAUCAAAGAGCCAGUUGACUUUCUUUAAAAACAAUUGUCUUCAGAAUCAGUGUGUAGCUUAUACUUAGACCACAUUGGAAUUCAAACCUGCUGUCUUGUGAUCAGUCAGCAUCUGUGAGGCUAGGGCCCUGUCCUUGAUGGUGCAGAACCAUAGGUCCCUUCUGGCUCAGGCAUCUGACAGCUGAUUCUUUGCACGGCCAGGACACCUCUGGGAUUCUGAGACCAAGGCAUGCCAGCAUGUGCUGGGAAUCUCAUUCCUUUCUUGUUUUGAUUAACAUCUGUAUUCUUCCAAGAUCAGCUUUUUCUUGGCUCUGGCUUCCUUUCUUUUAGCUGUUAUUGAGGAACUGAGAUUCCCUAGCCUGGAUCAAAGCUAUCUUGCUAACCUGUUUAUUUCUUCAGUUAAAAUGACACAGGAUCUGAAUUUCAGCCAGUGGAUGUCACUGUUUACUCAAGGAGGGUUCUCAGAGGAGACAGUCUAAUUUGGGGACGAAUGCAGAAAAAACAACAGUCUGCCUCCUUUUCCCCAAUUUUAGUGUUUCCCUUUUAACUUGGAAGAGUGACUGAUUUUUGUGAAAGGAACUAAAGUGCUACUUCAUCCAUGCAGUCUAGAGCAUUCAUUGGCUUUAGAAGGCUAAGGUCUAUUUACUAAAGUGCAUCAUACUGAAUUACAAGGCAAUCAACAACAAUGCCAAUUGCAGUUUAAAAAAAAAUCCCCAAAUUGCCCUUUUUAAAAGAGGAAUUAGGAGAUGGAGAUGUAGCUCAGUGAUAGAGCACUUGCCUAGUGUGCACAAGGCCUUGAGUUCCAUUGCCAGCACACACAAAAAAGAAAAAGGAAAGAAGAGAAGAAAGAGGUUUUUAUUUCUACAAAGCAGAGGUCACAGUCUACAUCUGAAUCUGGCCCAUAGCUGUGUGACACAAACACAAUUUUUAAAAAAACAAUUGAGCUAACAAUUACUUUGUAGAGGAUUUCAUAUGACCAUUUAGAUUUCUGGCUUCACCUGAAGUACUGGAACAUCUGGAGAUGUUAGACGCACACCCUGCAAAGCCAUGGUUUGGCUGCCUCCUGGUUGCAUUUUGUAAGUUGUCAUGUCUUCACCUCUCCCCACAGGCUCACCACUCCCCACUGCCAGUUCAUCUCAAGCCAGGUCACCUUACCCAUUGAUGUUGGCCCCUAAGCUCUGCUGGCAUUUAUGAUUUUGAUCUGUCUUUCUUGGCACAAAAGCACAUAAACAAGCGUGAACCACUUUGCAGGGAUCUGAAGGAUGGGAUGAUUUGGAAACAAAGACAAUGGGAAGAUUGGUUUGAUAUGAUGUAGCUUCAACUUUAGUUUUGAGCAUGGAGUAUGCUUGGCUCAGGGUAGGACUAGGUAGGUGACUUGUUUCUUGGGUUGCCUAAAAGGUUAUAGAUAUCCCUGGUGGUUAGAAUGUCUCCAAGUACCCAAGGUGUGGGAGGUGGAAGGCAAAUGAGUUAGAAAAGUCAGAUCUUUGAUGCCACAAUUGCACGUGGGGUGAAAAUCAGCCCUAAUGCCCUUACUUGACCUUCACUCCAGUGGGAAGCAUGCUGAGGUUCCUCUUUUAUUUUUAUGUAAGUUGGUAGAUCUCAAACUGACAUGAGGAAGAGAAGCAAAGCGAUGGGAAGCUUGUGAACUGCAAGCUGGGAUGACUCCCAGAAUUCCUGAUUCAAUAGGUCUGGGGCUGGGAUUGGGAAUUCAAGUUUCUAAUAGACCCUCAGAGGACCUUGGUGCAGAUGAUCCUGUGACCACACUUUGAAAUCCUGGCCUAUGAUUUUAAGGCCAAAAUAAGAUAGUUUCAGAGGAAAAGAGGUGUGUGUGUGUGUGUGUUUGUGUGUGUGUGUGUGUGUGUGUGUGUGUAUAGGCUCUUGAAUUCUGUUCCACAGUAACCUAAUGAUACAAGAGUCAGAAUAUUACCAAAGGCUGGAAAGAAUAAAUUCAUACACAAGUAGCACAAUGGAAGGCACUGCUUGUUUCCUUAUUAAGGUAUAAGAGACACUUCUUAAGAGAAAAGACAAAAUACCCUUGGGUGGCUUCCAGCUUGGUCUGUUACGUGAUGGCAGAUGAGAAGACCAUUUUCUUAGAAGGAAAACAAGACAGCAACCAAGGACUGGCCCUCUGCUACCUCAGACAGGGGCUGGGAGAGGAGCUUCAGGGAAGGGGAACUGACGUUUAUCGAGCACUGAUUGUCUACCAAGAGUUAUAUACUUGCUUACAUAUCUCAUUCAAUCCUCAGAUUAUUUUAGGAGGUAUGUACUAUAUAUAUUUGCAUUUUAUAGUUAAGGGACCCACUCAGAGUUCAGUACUUUCCUACAAUCCCAGAGCUAAUGAGUAAUGGCCAGGAUUUGAGCUGGACUUGUCUGACUCUAUAGUUGGAGCUUGUAACCACUGCUUCUCAAGCCAGAGUAGUUUGAAGUCUAGAAAGCCAUGGGAAAGGAGAAUUAUUUCUUUGUCUGGAAAUUUUGCUACAAAAUGAAAACAAGAAAGCCAUUUCAUGGAUUGUUGUAAAACCUAAAUAAAGUCUGGGCAUCCUUGGAUGCAUCCUUGUUUCAGAUUAUACAUGUUAUUAUACUUCCUCCUUUUAUGCAGUGUCCCUUCUAUGCUUUGCCUUAUACCUCAAAGCAUUCACUGAUUGGCCAUUUCUUGCAUAUCUAUUUUGUACGAUGUGAACAAGUCAGAUGAGGUCCUUGCAGUGUGGUAGCAGGAAUGGGUCUACAGGAUGAUAAACCAGCUACCAGCUCCACAUCACCCAGUGCAAUUCUCCCAGCCCUCAAUCUCUGAGCCUCUCCAGAUAUGAUUUCACUGUCGCUUGCAAUCCUUAUGCUCUUUGGAGCCAAUAGUCUGUCUGUCCUCCUACACACUCUCUUUUAGACAUCAAUAUCCUUAUUUAAGCAGAUCCCAUGUGCUAGACGUUCUCCCUGUAGAAUCUCUUGCAUCCUCAUGAUUCUGAUCUAAUUCAGGUCAUCACCUCUCAGCUGACUCUCAGCUUUCACAGGGUCCCCAGUCUUUAUCCUUUCAAUACAGUCUCCACAUGGCUGCCAGAUUGAGAGUUCUAGGUGCACUCUGAGCCUGAGAUCACCAGCUCCAGGUUUUGCACAGCUCUCCUGUCCUUAGGCCUGUGCUUUGUCUGCAGGACAGAUGCCCAGGCUGCUGCCCUCUCUGGUGUCAUCUCCUCAGUCUCUAGAAAUCUCCACCUCAUCGUCCUUGUCUGCUCUCUCUCCUGGGUCAGGCCUCCAUGACUUUGCUCAGGACACAGCCUUUGUAGCAUGUGCUGUGCCCAACCUCCUGUGCUAACUAACUUGUCUUUUCCUACCCAGCUUAGGAAGCUGCUUUGGCAUAAAGCCUUUUCUGCUACCCAGUCUGGGUCCUCUGUGCUCCACUUUAUUCUGUAUACAACUUAAGAGCAACCAGGAGGGCCAAUGCACCUAAGAGCCGGAAGCAUGGAGGUGGGCCAGGGAGCUGUGUGGGGCUGAUGGAGGCCUGGGGGGUGGGGUUCAGUAGUCACAAUUGCCACCUCCUUCCUGUACCUGUGAGCACAUGGCUCAGCAGGCAGGGCCUCUGGGUGGUCUUUGGAGCUGCAUGGCUCAGCGGUUUAAAUAGCUGCAGAAGCAGUCAGCAUCUUUAAUUCAAUACCUUUCUCUCUGACAUUUCUGCCCUGAAAUGCCACUUCUACUGAGCCACAAGGAGACACAUAUCCAAGGGGCUUGACCUAUUCAGAAGGCUGGUGAUCAAUCAGAGGAACUCGAGCUGAUCCUGAUUCUGAGCCGGGGACCUCUGGACAGGCAGCAGCAGAUACUGCUACCAGCUGCUAUACAGCUGGUGCCACCCUGUUUUUCUUGCCUGCUUGCUGGCCUUCUUAUUUCUCAACUUCCUCUGCUGUGCAGAAAUAAGUUGUUAAUUAAACUAGGCCCUGAAUUUCCUGAGCCCCUCUAUCCAACUCUUUCUUUCCCACUAGGUGUUGAAACUGUCCCCUGUGGCUCAGCGGAGGGUUUGGUGACAGCACUAUGAAGAGGGUAUAAUGUGGUACACAGCAGGGGCUUCUGAUCUCUCAUCUCUAUUGCUGGUUCCAGGAGCUCUGAGACAGAGCUGAUGGAUUUCUAAGUUUUAGAGGUUUGGGGACAUGUUGGUGUACUUAUCUGAUGAAUGUUUUAGACUUCUGGGCCUGGUAAAAAUGGCCCCAAGGUUCCUUGUAGGAAGCUAGGGAAACUCAUGGGAAACAGCUCCUUCUGUAAAAGGCAUUUUAUCCCCCUCACCAUGAAAGCAGCUUCCUGCUACUUUGUACCAUGUUAACCAACCCAAAGAUAAUAGUUACUGUAGCCGAUCAACUCCCAAUUUCACUCUCCCAUCUCUCAUUAAUUUGAUUUUUUUGCUAACACUGUGACAUGUGAAGCAAUGAUAGGCAAUGAAUUCUUUUCUUUACAGAAGUGGAAACCAAGGCACAUAGGGGUGGAGUGUUAUUUAUGAGAUAAUUGCCUUUUACAUUUGCCAAGUGCUCAGCAAUUUGCAAGGCACUUGCAUUUUGGUGUUUGCAUUUGAUUUUUCUAACAAGACUGAAAGGCACAUAACACAAGUGCAAAUAACAAUAUCUUCAAACAAGAUUAUCAUAUGUUUGUGUAUGCUGAGCUCUAUCCUUUGUGAUAAUGGAAUAUCAUUGAACAAUAACCCUAUUGUAGGUGGCAUUCUCACGAGCCUGUUGUGGAGUUCACUGAAUCUCAGAUAAGUGAAAUAAACAUUAGCUGAGACACACAGAGUCAAUGUCAGAAGUGGGACAAGAACUCAGACCUCCAGGUCUUUGUCAUAAAUCUCUCUCUCUUACUGGCCCAAGUUCAUAUGCCCAGGUCUCUUUUGGAAUCCUCCCUGGUGUGGCCUUAGUCUUUGAUCAUGGGUACAGCCUCCAGCUAUUGCAGCAGGAAGAGCCCCAUUUCUGCUGGCCAGCUGGAGAUGCAGAUUGCUGACCCAGGGCAGGAGACUUUGUGUCCAGUCUUACAUAUGAAGGAUGUAUAGUCUGGACAGACUCCCCAGUGUAACAGUGCAAUGUUCCCACUAAGCAAAUCAGUCUGUCCCAGGAAAUACUUUAGUUUCUUCCCAGAUUUGUUCAUUCCUCAUUUGUUUCCUGGAAUUAAUAAUUUGUUAAGCACUUCAGCCAAUUGUAUUAGACUGACAGUUUUCUUUUUAACUCAGGUUUCCAGACUUCCUGCUGAGACCUCGGAAAUGUUGUAAUAUUAUCCUAAUGACAUAAAUGAGGACUUUGAGAUGAGGAGAAGCUAAAUGAUUCUCUCCAGCCAUACAGGAUGUUAGGUCUGUAAGCUGCAGAGAAGACACUCAAAUCUCAGCCUGGCUGACCCCAAAGUCCUUCAAUUUAUCUUCUAUUAUGUACCAUGGAGAAGGUGUCUGUACAAUGAAGAAAUGCAAGUGGAGAAACAUUAACAGCUGGUGAAGGAGGCCAACUCAGCAAUCAGGCAUUGCCGAAGCAUCCAAUACCCUUGACCUCCCUGGAACAUUAAACCCUCUUGACAGUGAGCAUUUGUGUUGCAAAAUACAGAGAGACACUGGAGAGAAGGCUUUGGCAGGAGAAGCUUGGGGCUAGGUGGAUGAGGAAUUCCUGAGCACCAUCAGGAUUUUUAUUAGUAAUUAUUUUCUGAGGGAGAGAGCCAAGAAAGGAGGCAGGCUGAGAAAGGCCAUGUGGGAAGGCUGGAAAGACAGCAGUAGGAUAUGGUAAUAAUCAGCCUUGGAGGAAAUCACAUUUAUUUGUGUGGACAGAUCUCGAAGGAACUGAGCUCUUUGUAGUCUUAGCUUUACUCCUGUUCACAGUAUAACUUGCUUGGUUUGAAUUUCAUCUCUGUAUUCGCUACUGGUGGGAUUCGGAGUAAGUUACAGUUGCUUUUGGUAACUUAAGGGAUUGGUUCCAGGAUCUUAGUGGAUACCCAAGACUGUCAAUGCUCAAGUCCCUCAAAUGGCAUAGAUUUGCAUAUAAGCUAUGCACAUCCUCCUAUAUACUUUACAUUGUCUGUAUGUGACCUAGAAUUCCAAAUACAGUCUAAAGGCUAGAGAUCAGUUGUCACAUUAUAAUAUUUAGGAAAUAAUGACAAGAAAAAUAUUCCUUGCAUGUUCAAUACAGAUGAAAUUAAAAAAUACUUUCAAUCCAUAGCUUGUUGUAUUUGUGGUUGGUUGAAUUUAAGAAUGUGAAAAUCAAGUAUGUGGAUGGCUGACUCGAUCUAAUCCUUCUGGACUUUGGUUUUGACCUCUGAAGUGAGGCUUAUGAGAACUGUGGGAGUUUAAAGAUAAUGCAUAUGAAAUAUUUGCAAAAGUAGCUCACCUGGCAAGGAGUGACCAUAACUAAGUGAAAUGUAGCUAUUAUAAUUUUGGGGAGAAUAUACUAGUGGUAGUGACAUUAGGCAGUGUAACAUUAGUUGCUAGAACAAAGAAAUCCUAGUUUCAGUUCCACAAAACAGUGGAAAUCUGUUUCUUGCUCAUGCAACAGUCCAAUGUGCGAUGAGAGGUAUAAGGGUGGUUUUUGGCAUAUGUUGCCUCAGAGACCCGUGUCCUUCCCAUCUGUUCUACCAUUGCUGGGAUCUCAGAGCCCACAGCCAGCAGAUGGAAAAGAAUAGAGAAGUUUUCACCAUUUCCUGAAAGUUCUGGCUAGAUAUGAUCUGUGGCCUUUCUGUCGAAUAGAUGGAGACCUGUUGUGUGAUCACCCUAGGAGAUGAAUCUGGGGUGGGUGGCGAGGUGGGAAGGCAUAGUGAUGACUGAAUGGGCACUCCCUCCUAGGAAUAACUGCAAACAUGGCUAAAGGAGGGGCACGCAUUUUGGUGGACAGCUAGCUGGCUCUGCUCCAGUGGUAUCAGAUGAGUGACAGUUUUAUUUGGAACAGAUGCUUUGGGACAGAGCUCAUGCUAGCCAGGCUGUUUCUCUGAAUGGGUGGGUGGGAUAAUUGAUUGCUAAUCAAUUACAUAAAGGCUGGCUGCUUAGAGUGUGCUCCAUGGCCCAACUGUACCCACACUACUUAGGAGCUUGUUGGAUGUGCCAUGUUUCAGGCCCUAUCUUUGGGCUGAGUUAUGCUUGGAAUUUUGCAUUGUUUCUAACAACCUUUCACACUAUGCAGAUGUUUCAAACCAUACUUUGAGCAGCAGGCAUGCAAAGAAUACUGAUUUCAGAAAUUCAGCUUCUCCCUGGAAGAAAGCAGAUUUUUCAGUGGCUAUGUGGAAGGGAGCAUGGGGCUUUCACUUUCCCCUCCUGGAGCUCAUUGUCUUCUACUUUGCAAGGGUGGGUGGCAUUUCAGCCCAAAGAGAAUUAAGUAAGUUUCCAAGCUCUUGUUUGAUCAGGGGAAGGAAGAAAUCCAGAGAACACCCUGGGAAGGCUCCCUGUUGUGUAUUUACUGACAGCAGCUGGUGGAGCAGAAAGACAUUUGUGCUUUUCAGGUGUGUAGUGAGAAUCCAUCUCUGGUGGACACACAUCUCUGUCCAGGUGAGAUGGACUUGGAAGGGUUUGCAGUGAGCCGAAUUGGUUAAUGAAGCCUGUGCUAGAGUGUCACAAGUACUCACCUUCUUCCCUUUUCUCACCUGCCUCCCCCCACGACUCUCUAUUCUUUUGGAAAAAUUUAUUAACCUACAGUGACACUUUUCAAUGGUGACAACUCUAACUAAAAGUAGACUGGUGUUUCCUACUUUUCACAGACAAUUCCCUCACCUCCCUAAGAAUCAGACACAUUUGAGAAGAAAAAGAUAUUGCCUUCACUUUGGAACAAUGCCCUGCAUGUAAAAGCUGCCUAGAAGUGAUAUUCCAGCCUGUGUUUUAAGCUGAUCUGUAAGACUUCUCAAAAGUUAAAAGGUGGAGCUUGGGGAGGGACAUGGCAUAUUCAUUGCAUACUAUGCCCCAUGCACUGGAGUUGCCACCUGCCCCUCAGUAAUCUUCAAAACCACCUGCAGUUAGGGGAAGGGAACUGAUAGGAGCCAAUACUCACUAGGCACUCUGCUUUGUGUUGAGUACUAUCCCACUGACCAUCUAAUUGAAUGUAUUUACAACCCUGAGGAUUAGAAAUUAUUGUGAGUGAGUGUGUGUGUGUGUGUGUGUGUUACUGCUUUAUACAUGAAGAAGGUGAGAGUUGGGAGAAGUUGAAGAAGUAAACUACAGAAGUUUAAAUCCAAGCCUAAGAACACAGACACAUUUUUCCAACUUUUGCCCAUGAGAACCAAGCACUGGACAGUUAGAAGGGUGGACUGCUCUCCUACAGUUCAUAGGUCCAUGAGCCUUCUUAGUGUGAUGGUGAAGGAAAGUCCAGUAUCACAGGAAAGAGUGUGGACUCUGAGUUAAUCCACUGUUGCAUAAAUUCUGCCUCAAUCUGGAGUUCAGAGCCUCAGUUUUUUCAACUGUCAAAGAGGGUUCAUGAUACUAAUGGUGUCUUGAUAAUAAUAGAAAUAAUAAGACACCGAUGUAAAAGUUUUAGUAUAGUUCCAAUACAAAAUAACUGCCUGGUGCAUGUUAGUUUCACUAAUAAUGUUAAUAUUAGUCAAAGCCCAUUUGGUUGGAGGGAUGGACAUCACUCAACUCAGAUCAUGGUUAUUGUAAAGGUGUAAAGAACAGCCGGGGUGGAAGCUCAGAUAUCAAGACCUCUUUCACCCAGUGAUAAAUGUAAAUGUAUUGUAUACCUAAAAUGUACCAAUAAAAGAAUUUAAGCAAAAAAAAAAAAGAAACUAAACAGCAACAAAAACUCUUAUGUUGAUUAUGCAUAUUUUUAGUUCAUAAAAUACUGAUCCUUUUUAAUUGGAUGUCUACUGCCUCAGCAAAUGUCAAAAUACAAUAAUAUAAGAAAAACAUGCUCGUCAUCUUUUGGAGUAACAUGGGAUGCAUAAGUAAAUAAAAUAUUAGACUAUUAAAAAAAGACCUCUUUCUUCACUCCCUAGGCAUCAUAUGUCACCCUCAUAUCUGCUUCUCCUAUUGGACCUGGGUCACCCUGCUCUGGACCAGUGAAUUCUGUGUACUUCCCUGCCUCCAUACAUAGGAAGGUCACCUAAAGCCUGAGCUUGCAUGACACUGUGACAGUAAAGUUUAAUUGCCAACUGGAUUGACUUGGGAGCACCUAGGGGAUUAGUGAAGCACUUUUUUCAUGUGUCUAGGAGGGUCAUGGUGUGACCUUGGGUACCUGACUCCUUCCUCUCUGGUGCUAUUCUGCUUCCUGGUCAUCAUGGACUGACCAUCUUUGCUCCUCCAUACCCUUCCAUCAUGAUGUUUCUGUCUUGGACCCACCUACCAUGAACUGAAUUCCCUGUAACUGAGCCAAAUUAAGCCCCUUCUCCUUUAACUUAUGGUUGUUGUGUCCCAGUGCUAGGAAAGCAGACUAAUACAACAUUUUAGUCUUGGGUAUCUGUGGAUGAUUACUUAUAGAUUCCUGGGACUUACCUUAAAAUGAAUGAGAAAGCAUCUGGUUAGUUGAAGGCCAACCACUGGAUUGACCUUUUUGGUCUGGGGCUUGUUGUCUAGGCUGAAAGGAAGAAGGUUUUCCUGUCUGCUCUGGGGACCAGCUCUCUAUGAAGCACUAAGAAUGAGAAAAUCAAUAAAGUAUCUAGAACAAGGAUAUAGAUUAUUUUUUUCAAUCUACUCCUGAGUUUCCUGUUUCUGUCUGCCUGCCCUUCAACCUGUUCUUCAACUGGGCACAAGUAAUUAAUUGGUUUAUUGAGGAAUAAGAAUUUAUGAUAGUAUUUGAGGUGAUGAAAACCAAUUUCCCAGAAAUGGUAAGUUAGUACAAACAAGCAGAUGUAUGUGAACCUCUUACUGAAAGAGCUGUCCUGUGUUUUAAGCCUUAAGCAACUGGUAUGGUUUAUAUCUGGAUGUCCCCCCUCAAGGGCUCAUGUGUUCAUAGGUGGGGCUUUUGAGGGGUGAUUGACUCAUAGGAUGUGAUAGCUAAAUGUGAUGUUAGGAGCUGGGCCUAGUCUCAAGAGGCAGGUCACUAGGGUAAGACCUGGAAGGGUGUAUCUCCCUUUCUGCCUCCUGCCUUAUCUCUCUACUUUCUGGCCACCAUGAGGUGAGCAGCUUUCCUCCUCACCACACCAUUCCCCUAUGCUGCUUCAGUUCAACCAACUAUGGACUAAAACCUCUGAGCCAAAAUCAAACCUCUCUUCCUUCAAGUUGUGACAGGCAAGUGGCUAAGACAGCAGCCUCUUGGGGACUUUUGACUCUGUACAUUGUCUAGGUAGACUGAUAGGUAUUUCUUUGUGUUUGUCUGUCUCUUAUGCCUUUAGACAUAAUUGCUGUUAUUUUUCAUUAAAGGAGAAUUUUCUUGGAGAAAAUUACUUUCUCAACCUUUUGCCUUUUUCAUGUCCUGAAAGUUAUUGAGGAAUUCCAGAGUCAGGACCUUGUCUUUCUGUUUUAGGGUUGGAAACUCCAAAAUUCAGGGCUCACUGAUUAAGAAACCUCUUUUUUUUUGUACUGGGGAUCAAACUCAGGAACUUUUGCUUGCGAGGCAGGUGCUGGAACCACUGAGCUAAAUCCCUGGCCCAAGAAACCUCUUUACCAAUCAUGUGGCUAAUUCUGGAUCUUAAACUGAGAUCUCUAUUUCCUUCUGUAUCUAC